UACGGAGGGUGCAAGCGUUAUCCGGAUUCACUGGGUUUAAAGGGUGCGUAGGUGGGUUGGUAAGUCAGUGGUGAAAUCUCCGAGCUUAACUUGGAACUGCCGUUGAUACUAUCUGUCUUGAAUAUUGUGGAGGUGAGCGGAAUAUGUCAUGUAGCGGUGAAAUGCUUAGAUAUGACAUAGAACACCAAUUGCGAAGGCAGCUCGCUACACAAAUAUUGACUCUGAGGCACGAAAGCGUGGGGAGCAAACAGG
rnacentral:rRNA from 1 species